AUUUAAAUAGUUUAAUAAAAACAUAAUAUUGAAGAUAUUAAGAUAAUUUAUAAAAUUUUUAAAUA
rnacentral:tRNA from 1 species